GGCGUCGUCGCUGUCAGUCGCUAUACAACUGCUUGCCAAUAAAUAAUUGCAUCUUCGCACUUCACGUAAGUCACUAGCGUUUGGUUUCGAGAAACGCAGCCAUCCUCGUUUCUUCUGCUUCGAGGAUUCCGCGAUUACGAACAGAUGAGCGUGCAAUAGCUACCGAGCAGUUUAACGACCCAGCAUGCUCGUGUCCCGACGUUAAUGGACCUAUAUCCUUAGAACCUGUCAUUUCCUGCGUCGGAGAACUCAUCGUUCAGAUGCGUAAGUUCACAGUAACUGCAUCAAUGUACGCGUACAGUCAUCCCCUGGCCUACGAUGCUAUUUUGCAUUUGAUGAUAAUGAUAAGUAAGCUGACCGUUUCGGCAAUUGCACAGCUGAACCUUAUUCGUGAUAUUUUUCCCGCCACUGGGCGUUCUGUAAGUUGCAGCAACUAUUACGACUAAUUAAAGUUUAUUAUCAUCUGUGCAGUUUCGUUGUAGGAAUACAAACUCUGAUUCGUAACAAGGAGUUAUAACUGUUCUAGAGAAAACUAACAGUAUACACUAAUGGUGCUGUGCACGGUUCACUAUAUGCUUACUUUUACGAAUUUCUGAUAAACAUUAGCGACUCUAAUCACGUCACAUUUGAAAUUCAAUCCUUCC
rnacentral:lncRNA from 1 species